rnacentral:rRNA from 1 species
ACAGUGGACGCGAGCAUCUAGUAUCUGUGAUCUUUAAGUUUUUAAGGGCACACGGUGGAUGCCUUGGCACCAGGAACCGAUGAAGGACGUUGUAAUCUGCGAUAUGCCUCGGGGAGUCGAUAAACAGGCUGUGAUCCGGGGAUUUCCGAAUGGGGAAACCCGACCAGAAUCAUGUCUGGUCACCUGCACCUGAACACAUAGGGUGUUGGGAGGGAACGUGGGGAAGUGAAACAUCUCAGUACCCACAGGAAGAGAAAACAAGAGUGAUUCCGUGAGUAGUGGCGAGCGAAAGCGGAUGAGGCUAAACCAUGAUCGUGUGAGACCUGUCAGGGGUUGCGGUUGUGGGGUUGUGGGACAGUGCUGACCUUGUCUGACAGCAGGGUGCGCAGUAAGAAACCAGUUGUGUAGUCGAACAGUUUUGAAUGGCUGGGCGUAGAGGGUGCGACUCCCGUAGACGAAACAUAGCUGGCUGUGUUGUGCUGUUUCCCAAGUAGCACGGGGCCCGUGAAAUCUCGUGUGAAUCUGGCAGGACCACCUGCUAAGCCUAAAUAUUCCCUGGUGACCGAUAGCGGACUAGUACCGUGAGGGAAAGGUGAAAAGAACCCCGGGAGGGGAGUGAAAUAGAUCCUGAAACCGUGUGCUUACAAUCCGUCGGAGCCUCUGUGUGGGGUGACGGCGUGCCUUUUGAAGAAUGAGCCUGCGAGUUAGUGCUCAGUGGCGAGGUUAACCCGUGUGGGGUAGCCGUAGCGAAAGCGAGUCCGAAGAGGGCGUUUGAGUCGCUGGGUCUAGACCCGAAGCGGAGUGAUCUACCCAUGGCCAGGUUGAAGCGCCGGUAAGACGGCGUGGAGGACCGAACCCACUUAGGUUGAAAACUGAGGGGAUGAGCUGUGGGUAGGGGUGAAAGGCCAAUCAAACUCCGUGAUAGCUGGUUCUCCCCGAAAUGCAUUUAGGUGCAGCGUCGCGUGUUUCUUGCCGGAGGUAGAGCUACUGGAUGGCUGAUGGGCCCCACCGGGUUACUGACGUCAACCAAACUCCGAAUGCCGGUAAGUGAGAGCGUGGCAGUGAGACUGCGGGGGAUAAGCUUCGUAGUCGAGAGGGAAACAGCCCAGAUCAUCAGCUAAGGUCCCUAAGCGUGUGCUAAGUGGGAAAGGAUGUGGAGUUGCUGUGACAACCAGGAGGUUGGCUUAGAAGCAGCCACCCUUUAAAGAGUGCGUAAUAGCUCACUGGUCAAGUGAUUCUGCGCCGACAAUGUAGCGGGGCUCAAGCACAUCACCGAAGCUGUGGCAAUGACACACAUACCCUUAACGGGGGUGUUGUUGGGUAGGGGAGCGUCGUGUGGCGAGUGAA